rnacentral:rRNA from 1 species
CCUACGGGUGGCAGCAGUGGGGAAUAUUGGACAAUGGGCGAAAGCCUGAUCCAGCCAUGCCGCGUGUGUGAAGAAGGCCUUCGGGUUGUAAAGCACUUUCAGUGGGGAAGAAAGCCUUGGGGCUAAUACCCUCGAGGAAGGACAUCACCCACAGAAGAAGCACCGGCUAACUCCGUGCCAGCAGCCGCGGUAAUACGGAGGGUGCGAGCGUUAAUCGGAAUUACUGGGCGUAAAGCGCGCGUAGGCGGUCUGAUAAGCCGGUUGUGAAAGCCCCGGGCUCAACCUGGGAACGGCAUCCGGAACUGUCAGGCUAGAGUGCAGGAGAGGAAGGUAGAAUUCCCGGUGUAGCGGUGAAAUGCGUAGAGAUCGGGAGGAAUACCAGUGGCGAAGGCGGCCUUCUGGACUGACACUGACGCUGAGGUGCGAAAGCGUGGGUAGCAAACAGGAUUAGAUACCCCGGUAGU